rnacentral:rRNA from 1 species
CCUUACACAUGCAAGUCGAACGGCAGCACGGGAGCAAUCCUGGUGGCGAGUGGCGAACGGGUGAGUAAUAUAUCGGAACGUGCCCAGUCGUGGGGGAUAACGCAGCGAAAGCUGUGCUAAUACCGCAUACGAUCUAUGGAUGAAAGCGGGGGACUCGUAAGGGCCUCGCGCGAUUGGAGCGGCCGAUAUCAGAUUAGCUAGUUGGCGGGGUAAAAGCCCACCAAGGCGACGAUCUGUAGCUGGUCUGAGAGGACGACCAGCCACACUGGAACUGAGACACGGUCCAGACUCCUACGGGAGGCAGCAGUGGGGAAUUUUGGACAAUGGGCGAAAGCCUGAUCCAGCAAUGCCGCGUGCAGGAUGAAGGCCUUCGGGUUGUAAACUGCUUUUGUACGGAACGAAACGCCUCUUCCUAAUACGGGGGGCUAAUGACGGUACCGUAAGAAUAAGCACCGGCUAACUACGUGCCAGCAGCCGCGGUAAUACGUAGGGUGCGAGCGUUAAUCGGAAUUACUGGGCGUAAAGCGUGCGCAGGCGGUUAUAUAAGACAGAUGUGAAAUCCCCGGGCUCAACCUGGGACCUGCAUUUGUGACUGUAUAGCUAGAGUACGGUAGAGGGGGAUGGAAUUCCGCGUGUAGCAGUGAAAUGCGUAGAUAUGCGGAGGAACACCGAUGGCGAAGGCAAUCCCCUGGACCUGUAC